AAAAAGACAAACCCUGGGUUUCCGUGUCCAACGUUUGACCGUCCGUCUUAUUUAAAAAAAUUAUGAAAAAAAUUAAAAAGACAAGUCUCACGCAUAAAGUAUUAAUCAUGUUUUAUCAUCUAACAACAAUGAAAAUACUAAUUAUAAAAAAAAUUUCAUAUAAGACGGAUAGUCAAAGUUGGACACGGAAAUCUAGGGUUUGUCUUUUU
rfam:Oryza sativa Japonica Group DNA, chromosome 9, cultivar: Nipponbare, complete sequence.